ensembl:lncRNA
CUGGAAGCAGAGAAUCUGUUUUCUCACUGGCUACUGGAAGCAGAGAAUCUGUUUUCUCAUUGUCUACUGGAAGCAGAGAAUCGGUUUUCUCAUAGGCUACUGGAAGCAGAGAAUCGGUUUUCUCAUAGGCUACUGGAAGCAGAGAAUCGGUUUUCUCAUAGGCUACUGGAAGCACUCAGAAUGUGGCUGAUUGUGCAUCCCAAAUGGCACCCUAUUCCCUUGGUAGUGCACUACUUUUGAACAGGACCCAUAGGGAAUAGGGUGCACUAUUUUAGAACAGGACACAUAGGGAAUAGGGUGCACUACUUUAGAACAGGACCCAUAGGGAAUAGGGUGCACUAUUUUAGAACAGGACACAUAGGGAAUAGGGUGCACUAUUUUAGAACAGGACACAUAGGGAAUAGGGUGCACUACUUUAGAACAGGACACAUAGGGAAUAGGGUGCACUAUUUUAGAACAGGACACAUAGGGAAUAGGGUGCACUACUUUAGACCAGGACACAUAGGGAAUAGGGUGCACUACUUUUGAACAGGACCCAUAGGGAAUAGGGUGCACUACUUUUGAACAGGACACAUAGGGAAUAGGGUGCACUACUUUUGAACAGGACCCAUAGGGAAUAGGGUGCACUACUUUUGAACAGGACCCAUAGGGAAUAGGGUGCACUACUUUUGAACAGGACACAUAGGGAAUAGGGUGCACUACUUUAGACCAGGACCCAUAGGGAAUAGGGUGCACUACUUUAGAACAGGACCCAUAGGGAAUAGGGUGCACUACCUUAGACCAGGACACAUAGGGAAUAGGCAUAUUCCAUUAUAAACAAUCUCUGUUUAGAGGUGACCUAGCCCUAUUCCAUUAUAAACAACCUCUGUUUAGAGUUGACCUAGCCCUAUUCCAUUAUAAACAACCUCUGUCUAGAGGUGACCUAGCCCUAUUCCAUUAUAAACAACCUCUGUUUAGAGGUGACCUAGCCCUAUUUCAUUAUAAACAACCUCUGUCUAGAGGUGACCUAGCCCUAUUCCAUUAUAAACAACAAUAUAACUAUGUUUAGAGGUGACCUAGCCCUAUUUCAUUAUAAACAACCUCUGUUUAGAGGUGACCUAGCCCUAUUCCAUUAUAAACAACCUCUGUCUAGAGGUGACCUAGCCCUAUUUCAUUAUGAACAAAAGUUGAACUUAGAGAACUUAGAGCCACUGUUACUUUUAUUGUAAAUUAUUUAACUUUUCAUUUUUAUUGUAAAUGAUUAAAAUCUUACUUUUAUUAAUUAAAUUGUACUUUAGCGUAAAU